GCCCUACGGUGUACACCGCUUCCCCGGCCGUGCUGAGGAUGAAGACAUUCGCAAGAUGUGGAUUAAAAACGUACACCGAAAGGACUUUGCCCCCAAACAAGUAUUCAAGGGUGUUUGCGGAGUACACUUCCCUGACGGCAGACCAACGCAGGAACACCCAUAUCCCAUAAUAUGGGAUAUGAAUAUAGUAAAGCACCAUCAUGUGGAAGACCACCCCCAAAGAGAUGUCUCCAGCCCCCAACAGAGAGACUUGGAUUAAUGUUGAGAGGAUUAUUGUUCAAUACGGUGUAGAAACACUUGGUUCAGUUAUAUGUAUAUAUCUAUCAUCUUUCAAGAAAUCCUUCCCCUCAGCUGUGACCAUACUGAACAAGAGAUGAACUGUCCAGCUGCAGCAUGCAUGUAUUGUGUGGUCUUGUCUUUUUUUUUUUGGUCAAGCCUUGUCUAAUGUCUGUGAGAAUCACUGAAGCCACGCCAAAGACAAUUUUCUUUUUCAUGGGUGUAACAGACAAUUAAGUUUUAUCUAAUCUAAUCAUAUCAAUGAGAAUCAGUGCACCUGACAAAGGUAUGACAUACCGUAUACUGUAGGCUUAAAUGCUAAAGAAAAAUGAAUUAACCUGGCGGUUUUGAAUUGUUUAUUUACACAGUUAUUAAAAUGCAUACAGAUAGUGAAUUUAAUAUAGUUCAAUACUGUGUGCUUACUUGAUGGUGUUUUUUAUAUGUGCUGAACUGAAAAACAACCUAGCUACUUGUGCUCAAUAUCCAACUGCAGCAUUGUAGUUGCAGGUGGGGGGUGGUGGUUGUUCAAAUUUGACACACACCUUACAUUGGUCCACUUUACAAAUGGCCCCAUACACUAAAUGACUCUUGCUGGUGUGUUUUUUACUUGGCAACUUGUUAUUAAUCACUAAUGUUCUUAAUGUCAUUUCAAUGCAGCUCUUUGUGAGAAAUCUGGGCAGCCAUGGCCUAGUGCAGGGAUGUCAAACUCAGGCCCGGGGGCCAAAUCUGGCCCGCAGAGUCAUUUCAUUUGGCCCGUAAGAUCAUUUCAAAUGUGUAUUACAGUUGGCCCACAUACACCAUUAAUAUAUAGCAUAAGACCUGAACAUAAAAUGUAAUGUGUCAAAAAAAAUAUGAGUGGGCUGGGCAUAGGCCAGUAAAACAGCUCACACUACUGCAACAGAGUAUCUGCAGGCACAUUUGAACUACGAUGGGAAUCUGUUUGUGAAAUUUAAUUAUGAGAUUAAGUGUGUUUGCACAAUUUUAGGCCGUUGUAAAUAUUGAGUUUGGCCCGCGACUUUGUUCCAGAUUUGUAUUUUGGCCCUCUGUGAGUUUGAGUUUGACACCCCUGGCCUAGUGGUUAGAGAGUUGGUCUUUCAAUCUAGGGGUUGCUGGUUCGAAUCCCCCACGACCUCUCCCUACACCUCCAUCCAUG